GGUGGCUCCAGCCUACAGGCGGCAGGUCAGUCGCAUCACAUCAAGAUUGUCCAUCACGUCGUCGCACUAUGAGUUAAGGACAGGUACAAGUCAAAGAGAAGAAGAGGUCUCGGCAAUUCAAGUAACGUGUACGUUAACUUUCAUUGAAUCUUGCUCUCCAAAUGAAUAACCACUCCUUCCAAUUAAACUACUAAACCAAUGGCCGAUCGCUAGCUACCUCCAUGCUUGAGUUACUUCAUCUUGUUCUUUGAGGCGAAGCGGAUGAAGGGGUAGAAGACGGCCCAGCCGAUCAGGUAGAGCACCAUCCACCAUUUUCUGUCCUCCAACAUGCUGAUGGCGAGGUUAUGGAGGGAUAGCAUCACCGUUGAGCGGCGCGUCCAUGGAGAAGACCCGGUCCCCGCAAAACUCAUUCAUGAGGAGGCCCUCGUGGGGUACUUCAUCAUGGAGAUGGUGUUCAUCCACUUCCAAUCCAGCGGGAUGAUGUUGCCAUUGACGAAGUAGCCGCAGAAGAGAAAGAAGAGGGCAGUGAAUACGAAUAUACGAUCACAGCACGUAUCUGGGUCGAGCCGGAGAGUUCAACAUUGUUUUUUUAUGUAUGUAUGUAAAGUGUAACAAUUCUGGCCUAGCCCAGUAGCAGCUCCCAUGAGCUCGUUGUCCCGCACGAGACCAGUCUGGAAGGCCGGCCAGACAAAAUGAGAUUUUCUCCAGCCAAAUUCAGGAGCAGGGACGAACAUUUGCUACUCCGAUCAAGGACUCGCUGCGGGAAGAUGGAUCAAAGAAGUUUCACGAAGCCAGACCGUUACCGAACACUGCCCUUACUAUAUGGAAUUGAGUUUUGGCAUAGAUCAGGUUUCCCUCUUCCACGACAUGUUUGGUUAAACAUACAGGUUCUUUGGAGGCGAUUGCUGCGUUGGCAGCCGCUGUGCUCGAAGAGGGAUAUCUUAAUCCGGGACAAAAUGCCUCCUGUUGCUGGAGAUCAAGGCGUCAGAAGCCCUCCGUCUUCAAUGGCCAAGAAGCGUCGAACUGUCAUGCCUGGCCUUGGCACUCCAUCUCUGGGCGAAGCAAAACCUGGACUGAAGCUCUUCUGAUCGUCAUCGCCUACACCCGUCGGUCUGCCGCAUGAGAUGCUGAAACCUGAACUGAAGCUCUUCUGAAGCUCUGUGUUUUUCAAUUUACCGUUUUCGCCUUAGUGCUAUGUUGCCGUUGACGGCCUGUAAUGGAGCUUACACUGAAAUACUGUUUCGUUUCAUUGAAAUGAAACCGGGCGAAUGGCUCUUUAUCUAAAAAAAGUUUCCCUCUUCCAAAAAAAGAUCAAGUUUCCCAAAAGGAUUAUGUCAACGGAAAAUUAGAAAGGGAGGCUAUCCACACCACGUCCGUGUGUCCAAUACUCCUUCGCCUAAGAAGGA